rnacentral:lncRNA from 1 species
GAAUUGUGGUACCGAGCUUCCGGGGGAAAGAAGAGAGGUAAAGUAUAUGGGUUAAGCAAUCUUAAGAAUGAUUUUAACGUUCAGCAUCAUGGCAAACAAGACCAAGAGAUCGAAAGGUUGAACGUGAUUAUUGCGGGAUUGGUGGUGGAAAAAGAGAAAGAUAAGGCGGAGAAAGAGGCUAUGAAUGAAAGGAUAGCAAACAUUGAAGCGAUGCUAAAAGCUAGGUUUCAAAACGUAUA